rnacentral:sRNA from 12 species
CGCCGGGGCCAAUUGGGGUUCCCGAAGGACCAAUUGGGGUCAGAGGA